CACACGACUCUCGGCAACGGAUAUCUCGGCUCUUGCAUCGAUGAAGAACGUAGCGAAAUGCAAUACCUGGUGUGAAUUGCAGAAUCCCGUGAACCAUCGAGUCUUUGAACGCAAGUUGCGCCCGAGGCCAUUCGGCCGAGGGCACGCCUGCCUGGGCGUCACGC
rnacentral:rRNA from 1 species